ACAGCCAGGCUGCACAUGUAUGGAACCUUGUUUAAAACCAGUCAGAUGUCCUUCAUACCAUUGUUAUCUAGGUCCCCAGUCAGAUGUCCUCCUUCAUACCAUUGUUAUCUAGGUCCCCAGAGUCAGAUGUCCUCCUUCAUACCAUUGUUAUCUAGGUCCCCAGAGUCAGAUGUCCUCCUUCAUACCAUUGUUAUCUAGGUCUCCAGAGUCAGAUGUCCUCCUCCAUACCAUUGUUAUCUAGGUCUCCAGAGUCAGAUGUCCUCCUUCAUACCAUUGUUAUCUAGGUCUCCAGUCAGAUGUCCUCCUUCAUACCAUUGUUAUCUAGGUCUCCAGUCAGAUGUCCUCCUUCAUACCAUUGUUAUCUAGGUCCCCAGUCAGAUGUCCUCCUUCAUACCAUUGUUAUCCAGGUCUCCAGAGUCAGAUGUCCUCCUUCAUACCAUUGUUAUCUAGGUCCCCAGUCAGAUGUCCUCCUUCAUACCAUUGUUAUCUAGGUCCCCAGUCAGAUGUCCUCCUUCAUACCAUUGUUAUCUAGGUCUCCAGAGUCAGAUGUCCUCCUUCAUACCAUUGUUAUCUAGGUCUCCAGAGUCAGAUGUCCUCCUUCAUACCAUUGUUAUCUAGGUCCCCAGUCAGAUGUCCUCCUUCAUACCAUUGUUAUCUAGGUCUCCAGAGUCAGAUGUCCUCCUUCAUACCAUUGUUAUCUAGGUCUCCAGAGUCAGAUGUCCUCCUUCAUACCAUUGUUAUCUAGGUCCCCAGUCAGAUGUCCUCCUUCAUACCAUUGUUAUCUAGGUCUCCAGAGUCAGAUGUCCUCCUUCAUACCAUUGUUAUCUAGGUCUCCAGAGUCAGAUGUCCUCCUUCAUACCAUUGUUAUCUAGGUCUCCAGAGUCAGAUGUCCUCCUUCAUACCAUUGUUAUCUAGGUCCCCAGUCAGAUGUCCUCCUUCAUACCAUUGUUAUCUAGGUCCCCAGUCAGAUGUCCUCCUUCAUACCAUUGUUAUCUAGGUCUCCAGAGUCAGAUGUCCUCCUUCAUACCAUUGUUAUCUAGGUCUCCAGAGUCAGAUGUCCUCCUUCAUACCAUUGUUAUCUAGGUCUCCAGAGUCAGAUGUCCUCCUUCAUACCAUUGUUAUCUAGGUCUCCAGAGUCAGAUGUCCUCCUUCAUACCAUUGUUAUCUAGGUCCCCAGUCAGAUGUCCUCCUUCAUACCAUUGUUAUCUAGGUCUCCAGAGUCAGAUGUCCUCCUUCAUACCAUUGUUAUCUAGGUCUCCAGAGUCAGAUGUCCUCCUCCAUACCAUUGUUAUCUAGGUCUCCAGAGUCAGAUGUCCUCCUCCAUACCAUUGUUAUCUAGGUCUCCAGAGUCAGAUGUCCUCCUUCAUACCAUUGUUAUCUAGGUCUCCAGAGUCAGAUGUCCUCCUUCAUACCAUUGUUAUCUAGGUCUCCAGUCAGAUGUCCUCCUCCAUACCAUUGUUAUCUAGGUCUCCAGUCAGAUGUCCUCCUUCAUACCAUUGUUAUCUAGGUCCCCAGUCAGAUGUCCUCCUUCAUACCAUUGUUAUCUAGGUCCCCAGUCAGAUGUCCUCCUUCAUACCAUUGUUAUCUAGGUCUCCAGAGUCAGAUGUCCUCCUUCAUACCAUUGUUAUCCAGGUCCCCAGAGAUUAUUUAAUUUAAAAUAAUACUUUUGGAACAGUAUUCGUCACAUUGUUUCAGAAUCCCACAGCAUGUGUUGGUAGGACUUCAUUUUUAAACAGAAAUGUACUUAGUAUACAAAUAUACAAUAUUCUGUGUCAUGUGAGGGAAGUAUACAAUAUUCAGUGUCAUGUGAGGGAAGUAUACAAUAUUCUGUGUCAUGUGAGGGAAGUAUACAAUAUUCAGUGUCAUGUGAGGGAAGUAUACAAUAUUCAGUGUCAUGUGAGGGAAGUAUACAAUAUUCAGUGUCAUGUGAGGGAAGUAUACAAUAUUCAGUGUCAUGUGAGGGAAGUAUACAAUAUUCUGUGUCAUGUGAGGGAAGUAUACAAUAUUCUGUGUCAUGUGAGGGAAGUAUACAAUAUUCAGUGUCAUGUGAGGGAAGUAUACAAUAUUCAGUGUCAUGUGAGGGAAGUAUACAAUAUUCUGUGUCAUGUGAGGGAAGUAUACAAUAUUCUGUGUCAUGUGAGGGAAGUAUACAAUAUUCUGUGUCAUGUGAGGGAAGUAUACAAUAUUCAGUGUCAUGUGAGGGAAGUAUACAAUAUUCUGUGUCAUGUGAGGGAAGUAUACAAUAUUCAGUGUCAUGUGAGGGAAGUAUACAAUAUUCGGUGUCGUUUAGAAAUGUAUCAACACGGUAUCACCACCAAACGGUAUCACCAACGUGUCUUACCCAGUGUACUAGUAGGGGUGUGUUGUGAUAGAUCCAGUCAAUGAGUUGUGUUGUGAGUCGUGAGAUGUAGAUGGCAGCAGCUUUAGUUCUCUCCCAGUUCUGCUCCAGUACCGGACUCAACACACGAACACACUCGGAGUAGUAGUAGGGAGUAUUGGUGUCCAGCCAGCUACACACAUGGGACAAAAUUAGUCCGAGGUCAUUGUUAUUUUGGAUACAAAAAAUGACUUCAGUCUCCACACAGAAUGUCUAAAACCUGAAAGAACACGUAUAUGGACGUAUAUUUUUAAAUAACUGACCCGACAAAUACAUUUUGAAGUCAUUUCUAAACGCGGCCCGUCCUCAGAGAUAUGCUGAUGAGCAAACAUGAUUUCCCAGCUCUGGGUUAGUCAGGGGUUAAAGGUUACCUGAAGCCCUGAUGUGAGUAGAGAGUGACUUUGCUCCAGGCCUGUUGAGACACGCCCAUCACCCCUGAACUGUGGAGAUAGCUUGCUGUGGUGGAGUCUACACACACACACACACACAUUCAGAUUGGUUUACAGUUGCAUAGGAACUGUGUGUGUGUGUGUGUGUGUGUGUGUGUGUUGGUACAUGUGUGUGUGUGUGUGUGUGUGUGUGUGUGUGUGUGUGUGUGUGUGUGUGUGUGUUGGUACAUGUGUGUGUGUGUGUGUGUGUAUGUGUACCUGUGAGUGUGUGUGUGUGUGUGUGUGUGUGUAUGUGUACCUGUGAGUGUGUGUGUGUGUGUGUGUGUGUGUAUGUGUACCUGUGAGUGUGUGUGUGUGUGUGUGUGUACCUGUGAAGGAUCCAUGUGAUCGGAUGUCGUGUGUAAUGAACCCGGCAGCAAACACCAGUAAAGCCAUGAAGAGUCUGGACCAGGGGAACCCUCGUCCUAACAUCUUCAACUGGAGACACUACGGACAGAAGAGAGAGGAGGUGGACAGGUAGGAGAGAGGACAGGUGGUGGAGAAGAAGAGGAGAGAGGAGAGGUGGUGGAGAAGAAGAGGAGAGGUGGUGGAGAGAGGAGGUGGACAGGUAGGACAGAGGACAGGUGGUGGAGAAGAAGAGGAGAAAGGAGAGGUGGUGGAGAGAGGAGGUGGACAGGUAGGAGAGAGGACAGGUGGUGGAGAAGAAGAGGAGAGAGGAGAGGUGGUGGAGAGAGGAGGUGGACAGGUAGGAGAGAGGACAGGUGGUGGAGAAGAAGAGGAGAGGAGAGGUGGUGGAGAGAGGAGGUGGACAGGUGGUGGAGAAGAAGAGGAGAAAGGAGAGGAGGUGGACAGGUAGGAGAGAGGACAGGUGGUGGAGAAGAAGAGGAGAGAGGAGAGGUGGUGGAGAGAGGAGGUGGACAGGUAGGAGAGAGGACAGGUGGUGGAGAAGAAGAGGAGAAAGGAGAGGUGGUGGAGAG